rnacentral:rRNA from 1 species
AUGAACGCUGGCGGCGUGCCUCAUACAUGCAAGUCGAGCGAACAGACGAGGAGCUUGCCCCUCUGACGUUAGCGGCGGACGGGUGAGUAACACGUGGAUAACCUACCUAUAAGACUGGGAUAACUUCGGGAAACCGGAGCUAAUACCGGAUAAUAUAUUGAACCGCAUGGUUCAAUAGUGAAAGACGGUUUUGCUGUCACUUAUAGAUGGAUCCGCGCCGCAUUAGCUAGUUGGUAAGGUAACGGCUUACCAAGGCAACGAUGCGUAGCCGACCUGAGAGGGUGAUCGGCCACACUGGAACUGAGACACGGUCCAGACUCCUACGGGAGGCAGCAGUAGGGAAUCUUCCGCAAUGGGCGAAAGCCUGACGGAGCAACGCCGCGUGAGUGAUGAAGGUCUUCGGAUCGUAAAACUCUGUUAUUAGGGAAGAACAAAUGUGUAAGUAACUAUGCACGUCUUGACGGUACCUAAUCAGAAAGCCACGGCUAACUACGUG